rnacentral:tRNA from 2 species
GGGCGAUUAGCUCAGUUGGUUAGAGCGCCACCUUUACACGGUGGAUGUCACAGGUUCGAGUCCUGUAUCGCCCA